UCUUUUGUUAUUUAUGAUGUCAGCUAACUUUUAAGGGGAUGUUUUUGUCCAACAUUAUUGUAUCUUUUCCGCUUUUUUUACUGAUGUUAUUGUUAAUAUCAUCAUAAUUAUCAUUAAUGCCGUCAUUAAAAGUGUUAUUGAAUUUAGUCACCCCAACGCGUCCAUUUUCUUUGACUGAUAAGCGCACAGAGCCAUCUGGCGGUAGAGUUACCAAAGUCAGUUAGGUAAUGUCAACACAAAACAGCUGAUCGCGCGGCAUUGAGGAAUCAUCAAUAUAUUAUUGUCCUGCGACACAGCACAAAGAUGAUUGCUGAAGAUAUGUUACUGUGCUGAAAUGAAGGUGUUUUGUGAUGGUAAAUAGGUGUUGCCUAGAAGAAAUGUUGGUGUGUUAGAAAGAAAUCAAGGAAACUUCAUGGUUUGGUAACUGAUUACGUGACCGCUUACCUUCCCAGCAACUUUCAAGUAUGAACAGGGUUUUAGAACCUGAUUAUAAUAUAUUCUGAAGAUUUGUUUAUGAAAGGAAGCCCUCGAGAUGACGUCAGUUACAUCAGCCACCAGGCGACUCCCUUCCGCCGCCGGCAUCACAAGAUUACUGAGACUCAAGAGCCACCCCAGUCCCCUUCGAGGGAGGCAGUUCAGUCAGUCCCCAAGUCACCUUUCAGACGAAGACAAAACGAUAACAAAUACAACCAUCAUGGUUCAAGAUGGACUCAACAUCCAAGAAUUGCCAUGUAUCGUUCAGAUUAUCAAUGGUGAAUUUAGCGUGUUUAGCAACGGCAAGACUCAGGCUGGUAGAAAGCUGGAAGGGUUGGGUCUAGAGAUACCUCAGGUUUCAAAGAAUCUGUUCAAGAAUAUAAAUUUUGAAGAAGAGCAGGAGAUGAUUUUGGGAUUCAUGAGGUGUUUGAAAGUGGCAGACAUUUUCAAAUUACUUGAAGUUUGUCCAGAAGAGGAAGUGUCUCCAAAUGUUGCAUUAGCUGUAAUCAAGAGAAUAUUUGAAUUGGAAAAUAAUUUUGAAUAUCGGAAUAGAGGACUUAGUUUGUACCCAGAAGAAUCGCCAUUCACUUUUACAAGAGGUGCAGUCAUGAAACACUUAAUAGAAAUCAUAUGUGGUAGUUAUGAUGCACAGAACAUAAUAGAUGCUCUACGAGUGAUGGGUCGUGAUUCUUAUCAAGGCAAUAAGCAGAAAUAUUUGGAGAAACUGUGCAAUGAAUGCAUUAUUAGGAUUACUGAAGGAAGAAUGAAUGUGGAGCAGGUUUGCGAAAGUGCAAAAGCAUUUCAUAACCUUGGUACAAUUGGAUCCCAGUACAUUGAAAAGGUUUGGGUUGGAAUAACAGACAAGGUGGAGGAUAUUCACGUGAAGGAAGCUUGCAAUAUCAUGAGCAUCCUUCCACUAGUAAAGCAGAGCCGCAAACAUUUAUAUAAUGUAGUUGAGAGGAGGAUGGGAGGUUUGUGGUACAAACUAAAGUCUGAAGACAUUAUUAGAAUUCUCCACAUACUAAUACAGCUCAAACUAACAGGUAGUCGCAUGCUGCCAAUGAUAUCAAGGUGGACAAAUCUGAACAUCCAUGUUCUUACAGAAAGUAAUAUUCGAUGGAUUGUGUACUCCCUUAUGAGCCUAAAUUUUACAGAUGCCAACAUUCAAAAAUCCCUUACCAGAUUCAUGAAGGUAAAGAAGUCCAACAUAAAUGACCCCAGUCUGAUUGCUGUAAUCAUGGAUUAUUGUGUAAAGAUGCGAAUUAGGACUCCAGAGGUUUUAGACAUUGGAGUUGAAUAUUUUAUGCAAAAUGCAUCUAAACUCUCAGUGCCUCAGGUGAAUAGCCUCUGUCGACCUUAUGGCCUGUUGAAUUAUGAGCCGCCAAAUGCUUCGGCUUUCUUUUUAGCCUUUGAAAUGCUUUUGGAGGAGAAAUUUGUUCAAUUUCCUCCAAAUAUUAUGAUAGAUUUACUGCUGUCAUGCGUUUAUCUUAAACGCUAUCCAAUAAAUUUUGUGAAAAAAGUGUUCAAUCCCUACUUUUUUGACAGAAUUCAUACAUUGGACCCAGCAGAAAUGAGAUUAACAAGGACAAAAUUAAAGGUUCUCGACAGGGCCCUUUGUCUGGAAGCUUCAAACUACAGUGGGCCAAUGCUGCCAAGAGAUCACUCGGCCAAAAGUUUUUGGCGUGAUGCUAGAAUCAUGCGGUGUGUGAACAUGAUUCAAGCACCUCUCAUUGAGAUUGUGGGAACCAGUGAGCGCAUUACACCUUCAGCUAUUUUACCAAAUUUCCCAGGCACAGAGAUGUAUGUGGUUGAUUGUGUGAUAGAUAUGGCAGGAAAAUUGUCUCUUCAGUCUUUCAAGUGGAGCAGUAACAAGUAUGCUUUACUAAUUCAUCUUCCAGAGCACUACAUUUUAAAUGAAGACAUCCUUGUAGGGCCACAAGCCAUGCGUAAGCGUCAUUUGGCAAUGUGUGGCUUCAAAGUAGUUAGCCUUAACUAUGAGAGGAUGAAUAGACUUCGUAUGUACCCAGAAUCGUUGAAAAACUACAUUGAGGACAAAAUGAAAGAAGCAACUUCAGUGUAGCAUACCCUUAUGAAGACAGAAGACAAUGCUGUGUGUUUCUAGUGUAUUGUAGUUCUUAACCAGUGAAGAGUCAGGAAUACAAAACCAAUGGAUAGUAACGAAAUUGGAAAACAAUCUUUUUGUUUUAUAAGGAACUAUAUAAUGUUAAGUGAACAAAUAAUCUAGUCAAUUACUGUGAUAUAUGUAAAGAAAGAAUAGUGAUUGCUUUACACUUCUUGAUCACCAACAAUAAAAUCGUGUCACCAAAACUAAGGCUGAACUUGAGGUGCUGAGGUUUGCAUCCAGAGUGUCUGCUGCCGCUCAUAGAGCUGUGAUGCGCAAGAUCCGUCCUGGAAUGAAAGAAUACCAACUGGAAGCUAUCUUCCAGCAUCACUCGUACUACCAUGGUGGUUGUCGCCACCAGGCCUACACUAAUAUCUGCGGUUCUGGAUGCAAUGCUGCUGUGCUUCACUAU
rnacentral:misc_RNA from 1 species